rnacentral:rRNA from 1 species
UUGGAGGGCAAGUCUGGUGCCAGCAGCCGCGGUAAUUCCAGCUCCAAUAGCGUAUAUUAAAGUUGUUGCAGUUAAAAAGCUUGUAGUUAAAUUUCGGGGUUAGUAGGUUGGUCAUGCCUCUGGUAUGUACUGGUCUCACUGAUUCCUCCUUCCUGAUGAACCGUAAUGCCAUUAAUUUGGUGUUGCGGGGAAUUUGGACUGUUACUUUGAAAAAAUUAGAGUGUUUAAAGCAGGCUAACGUCUGAAUACAUUAGCAUGGAAUAAUGAAAUAGGACGGAUUGAUUCUAUUUCGUUGGUUUCUAGGAUCACCGUAAUGAUUAAUAGGGAUAGUUGGGGGCAUUAGUAUUCAAUUGUCAGAGGUGAAAUUCUUGGAUUUAUUGAAGACUAACUACUGCGAAAGCAUUUGCCAAGGAUGUUUUCAUUAAUCAAGAACGAAAGUUAGGGGAUCGAAGACGAUCAGAUACCGUCGUAGUCUUAACCAUAAACUAUGCCGACUAGGGAUCGGAUGAUGUUGAUUUUUUAAUGACUCAUUCGGCGCCUUACGGGAAAC